AACAUCUAGCACCUCCUGGUGCCGGAUUAAAAGAGGGCUUCUUGCUCUCACGAUGAGAUGGGCCCGCGGCGCAUUAGCUAGUUGGAGAGGUAACGGCUCCCCAAGGCGACGAUGCGUAGCCGACCUGAGAGGGUGAUCGGCCACACUGGGACUGAGACACGGCCCAGACUCCUACGGGAGGCAGCAGUAGGGAAUCUUCCGCAAUGGACGAAAGUCUGACGGAGCAACGCCGCGUGAGUGAUGAAGGGUUUCGGCUCGUAAAGCUCUGUUAUGAGGGAAGAACACGUACCGUUCGAAUAGGGCGGUACCUUGACGGUACCUCAUCAGAAAGCCACGGCUAACUACGUGCCAGCAGCCGCGGUAAUACGUAGGUGGCAAGCGUUGUCCGGAAUUAUUGGGCGUAAAGCGCGCGCAGGCGGCCUUUUAAGUCUGAUGUGAAAUCUUGCGGCUCAACCGCAAGCGGCCAUUGGAAACUGGGAGGCUUGAGUACAGAAGAGGAGAGUGGAAUUCCACGUGUAGCGGUGAAAUGCGUAGAUAUGUGGAGGAACACCAGUGGCGAAGGCGACUCUCUGGUCUGUAA
rnacentral:rRNA from 2 species